rnacentral:misc_RNA from 1 species
GUGAAUCAUCAAAUUUUUGAACGCAAAUUGCACUCUCUGGUAUUCCGGGGAGUAUGCUUGCUUGAGGGUUAGUUUGUUACAAUCGUAAAAGGAAAUUUUUACGGAUCUGGGUUUUCCGAACGAUUUAUUUUAAGUAAUCUAAAAUUUAUCAUAACAAUAGGUGUUAUUGGAAAUGUUUAUUUUUCAUGCAUUAACAAUU